CUGACGACCGGCGCACGGGUGAGUAACACGUAUCCAACCUUCCCAUAACUCAGGGACUAGACCGUUUCGAAAGAAAGAUUAAUACCUGAUAGUACUUUUCAAGGCAUCUUGAGAAAGUUAAAGAUUAUUGGUAUGGAUGGGGAUGCGUUCCAUUAGAUAGUUGGUGAGGUAACGGCUCACCAAGUCUUCGAUGGAUAGGGGUUCUGAGAGGAAGGUCCCCCACAUUGGUACUGAGACACGGACCAAACUCCUACGGGAGGCAGCAGUGAGGAAUAUUGGUCAAUGGGCGAGAGCCUGAACCAGCCAAGUAGCGUGAAGGAUGAAGGUCCUAUGGAUUGUAAACUUCUUUUAUAGUAGAAUAAAGUGAUCCACGUGUGGAUUUUUGUAUGUAUACUAUGAAUAAGGAUCGGCUAACUCCGUGCCAGCCGCAGC
rnacentral:rRNA from 1 species